GGAGAUCUACAAGUGACUCCAAAAUGAGAAAGUGUCAGACCACGGGGGACAGCAUGAGGGAAUACAUGUAACAUAUAAAAAGUCUCGUUUUGGAACACAGUCUGGAUGCUCAUUUCUGUGCUGUAUGUUCACUAUAACUGCUGAAGUAGGUUUUGCCCCAGGUGGAAUUUUUUUGUCUUGGAACUGUUGCUUCUGUACAUUUUGGUAAUAUUCUUGAAUGCAGACAACUUUUAAUAACACAAAGGUAAGAAUUUAGUCAACCAUGUUUUCAUUAUAAAUGCUCACAAAAAAAAACCCAAACCAAAACAAAACAAAAAAACAACACAAAACAAAGCAACAAAACAAAAGCUAUUGACGUAAAAAAUAGCUCACU
rnacentral:lncRNA from 1 species